rnacentral:rRNA from 1 species
UAGGGGAUCUUCGGCAAUGGACGGAAGUCUGACCGAGCAACGCCGCGUGAGUGAAGAAGGUUUUCGGAUCGUAAAGCUCUGUUGUAAGAGAAGAACGAGUGUGAGAGUGGAAAGUUCACACUGUGACGGUAUCUUACCAGAAAGGGACGGCUAACUACGUGCCAGCAGCCGCGGUAAUACGUAGGUCCCGAGCGUUGUCCGGAUUUAUUGGGCGUAAAGCGAGCGCAGGCGGUUAGAUAAGUCUGAAGUUAAAGGCCGUGGCUUAACCAUAGUAGGCUUUGGAAACUGUUUAACUUGAGUGCAAGAGGGGAGAGUGGAAUUCCAUGUGUAGCGGUGAAAUGCGUAGAUAUAUGGAGGAACACCGGUGGCGAAAGCGGCUCUCUGGCUUGUAACUGACGCUGAGGCUCGAAAGCGUGGGGAGCAAACAGGAUUAGAUACCCUGGUAGUCCACGCUGUAAACGAUGAGUGCUAGGUGUUAGACCCUUUCCGGGGUUUAGUGCCGUAGCUAACGCAUUAAGCACUCCGCCUGGGGAGUACGACCGCAAGGUUG